rnacentral:rRNA from 1 species
UACGGGGGGGGCAAGCGUUGUUCGGAAUUACUGGGCGUAAAGGGCUUGUAGGCGGCCAACUAAGUCAUACGUGAAAUCCCUCGGCUUAACCGGGGAACUGCGUCUGAUACUGGAUGGCUUGAGAUUGGGAGAGGGAUGCGGAAUUCCAGGUGUAGCGGUGAAAUGCGCAGAUAUCGGGAGGAACACCAGCGGCGAAGGCGGCACUCUGGGCUGGUACUGACGCUGAGGAGCGAAAGCGUGGGUAGCAAACAGG